GCUGGGUGUGGUGGCACAUGCCUGUAAUCUCAGCUACUUGGGAGGCUGAGGCAGGAGAAUCACUUGAACCCAGGAGAUGAAGGUUGCAGUGAGCCAGGGUUGCGCCACUGCACUCCAGCCUGGGUGACAGAGUGAGAUCCUGUCUCAA
ensembl:misc_RNA Metazoa_SRP Metazoan signal recognition particle RNA